GACGAACGCUGGCGGCGUGCUUAACACAUGCAAGUCGAACGGAAAGGCCCUGCUUUUGUGGGGUGCUCGAGUGGCGAACGGGUGAGUAACACGUGAGUAACCUGCCCUUGACUUUGGGAUAACUUCAGGAAACUGGGGCUAAUACCGGAUAGGAGCUCCUGCUGCAUGGUGGGGGUUGGAAAGUUUCGGCGGUUGGGGAUGGACUCGCGGCUUAUCAGCUUGUUGGUGGGGUAGUGGCUUACCAAGGCUUUGACGGGUAGCCGGCCUGAGAGGGUGACCGGCCACAUUGGGACUGAGAUACGGCCCAGAAUCCUACGGGAGGCAGCAGUGGGGAAUAUUGCACAAUGGGCGGAAGCCUGAUGCAGCAACGCCGCGUGCGGGAUGACGGCCUUCGGGUUGUAAACCGCUUUGGACUGUGACGAAGCGUGAGUGACGGUAAUGGGUAAAGAAGCAACGGCUAACUACGUG
rnacentral:rRNA from 1 species